AGUGAACGCUGGCGGCGUGCUUAACACAUGCAAGUCGAACGAGAACGGAUUAUAGCUUGCUAUAAUUGUCAGCUAAGUGGCGCACGGGUGAGUAAUGUAUAGGUAAUAUGCCUCUUACUAAGGGAUAACAAAUGGAAACGUUUGCUAAUACCUUAUACUCCUUAUUAACAUAAGUUAAUAAGUGAAAGAUUUAUUGGUAAGAGAUUAGACUGUAUUGUAUCAGUUAGUUGGUGGGGUAAUGGCUUACCAAGACUAUGACACAUAACUGGUUUGAGAGGAUGAUCAGUCACACUGGAACUGAGACACGGUCCAGACUCCUACGGGAGGCAGCAGUGGGGAAUAUUGCACAAUGGACGAAAGUCUGAUGCAGCAACGCCGCGUGGAGGAUGACACAUUUCGGUGCGUAAACUCCUUUUAUAUGAGAAGAUAAUGACGGUAUUAUAUGAAUAAGCACCGGCUAACUCCGUGCCAGCCGCCGCUGUAA
rnacentral:rRNA from 1 species